rnacentral:rRNA from 1 species
AUGGCGGGCACAGCUGUCGCCGCGGUGCUCUCCAAGUUCGGGCAGCUCGCCGUGAGUGAGGCACAAUUUCUGGCCCAGGUGGGUGAUGACAUGAUGCUGCUGCGCGACCGUCUGGAGUGGCUCCAGGCCUUCAUCCGCGAUGCCGACAGGAAGCGCCGGACUGGCGCCGACGGGCUCACCCGCGUAUGGCUGCGUCAGACUCGCGAUGCUGCCUUUGAAGCCGAGGACGCGCUCGACGAAUUCUUCCACCAGGUUGACCUAGAAAGCCAGGACUAUGAAGGCUGGAAAAAAUGGGCCAAAUACUUGACUAGCUGGUUGAGCCAAAUAACCAUCCGACAUGUAUUGUCUAAUCGUCUCAAAAAAAUCAAAAGCAAACUGGAGCAAAUCUCAGUGAAUCAAAAGGAAUACAAGAUCGAGCACACGUCAUUUAAGAUGUUUGCAUCAUCCACUACAGCGACUGCAGCAUGGUGCAGAAACAAUACGUGUGGUAGUUGCUACUCAGUUCAGUAA